rnacentral:lncRNA from 1 species
CUCUUUCACCAUAUCUUGUAAACCUUCGUUUUCUUUUUUAGUUGUCCCGAUACUUUGACAUUGAUCACGUCUGCAUCUUCUACAGAACACACAACAAAUUGGUUGAGUCCUAAUGCUGGUGAUGUAAAAGAUGUUUUCGGUUGAGGUAACCGUGACAUAAAAUGAGAUGGAGAACUUAUAACAGAAAUGAUUAUAAAGUCUACGAAAAAGGGGUGUGACAGUCAGGAGGUAAAUUUAGGUGUAUAGAGUGGUGUGUCCACUCCAAGCAAAAGAGACUUUAAGAUGGCUUCACAGACCGCGGUAUCAUAGAUCAAUAAAUG